rnacentral:lncRNA from 12 species
CCCACCACCGUAGGCUGCUCACAGAAUUUUUUCCAACAGUCCAGGUUAUGAUAUUCCCAGAAAGAGCAAGCUAUGCCUAAAUCCAAACAUUUUCCGUUUGUCUUCUUCAGUAGUGUAACCUAGUAUUUCUUAAUGUGAAAGUAUCAAAACAUACUCAUUGCAAUCAUCAAUCUUUGUUCAGUAAAAACAUAGCUCCUUCUGUAUGGGUACAUGGGAACUCUGUACUAUCUUCACAAGUAUUCUAUAAAUUUAAAGCUGUUCUAAUCUUAAAAGUAUGUAUUUUAAAUUUACCUACUUAGGUUCCAAACUUAUCGGCUAAAUCAUUAUUUCUAGGAUUGGCAUGAGAGAAAGUGCAUUGCAAUAAACAUCCUAGCUGAUUUUUAUGGACAGUAGAGUUUCCAUAGUGUCUAGGAAUAGCCUUAUGACCUCUAUACUCUCUUCAAUAUUGUCCGAUUGACUGACUGACCAACUUCCAAUGAGAACCUGAGACCCUAGAGGCUAUCAUUGCUCUGCCCAUGAUCCAAAUUAUUGGAUGUAUCUUUUGCAGGUAAUAGCUUCUUAGGCAUAAAAAUAACAUCACCUGGAAUCAAUUAUAGGUAUGCUGACUGAUGAAGUGAUCUCCUGGAAUUAUGGAUGCCUGUUACAGAAACUUAAAAAUACUGAAGGAAAAAAAAAAAAAUACCGAAGGCCAGAAUUCCAUCCUUCCUUCUGUAAAUCAGCCUUCUUCCCUCUCUACCAAUGAACUACUUCAUUAACUGCCUCUUUUUCAAGACACUGGUCAUACUUCUCCUAAGCAAUCACAGCAGACUCUCGGCAUGUUUCCCUAAGUCUCCAAGAUUUAACUCAAGUACAACUUCCUAAAUAUUUCUCAGUGUCCUUCCCCUGGAUUGCUUGCAUGUCCUUCCUCUCUGCCUCCGUAGCGUCCUGUAUAAACAUUUAUGUAGGGCAUAUCAGCCUCCCAUAAUUUAUUGCUUAGUCAUAUGCCCUCUUGAUCUUGAGCUACUUUAGGGUAAUGAGCUAUGAUCAUUUGAUUCCCAGCCUUGACCAUAGUGCCUAGAAAACCAUAGAUAAUUAUCUACGUGUUACUUUAUAUAUUCCUCCCAUUUUACACAUUUGUAACAUUGCAGAUCUUUUCUUCAUUGGUCCUCUAGUAUUUUAAAUAUUAUACUCAUAGCAGCAGAAUUACAGCUUAUUUGAG